GACGAACGCUGGCGGCGUGCUUAACACAUGCCAGUCGAACGGAAAGGCCCUGCUUUUGUGGGGUGCUCGAGUGGCGAACGGGUGAGUAACACGUGAGUAACCUGCCCUUGACUUUGGGAUAACUUCAGGAAACUGGGGCUAAUACCGGAUAGGAGCUCCUGCUGCAUGGUGGGGGUUGGAAAGUUUCGGCGGUUGGGGAUGGACUCGCGGCUUAUCAGCUUGUUGGUGGGGUAGUGGCUUACCAAGGCUUUGACGGGUAGCCGGCCGGAGGGGGUGACCGGCCACAUUGGGACUGAGAUACGGCCCAGACUCCUACGGGAGGCAGCAGUGGGGAAUAUUGCACAAUGGGCGGAAGCCGGAGGCAGCAACGCCGCGUGCGGGAUGACGGCCUUCGGGCUGUAAACCGCUUUCGCCGGUGACGAAGCGUGAGUGACGGUAAUGGGUAAAGAAGCACCGGCUAACUACGUG
rnacentral:rRNA from 1 species